GAUUAAGGCCAUGCCACCUUGAACGUGCCCAAUCUCAUCUGAUAUUGGAAGCUAAGCAGGGUCAGGCCUGGUUGGUACUUGGAUGGGAGACCAUCUAGGAAUACCAAGUGCUGUAGGCA
rnacentral:rRNA from 1 species